rnacentral:lncRNA from 1 species
UUGAUGUACUCCUCAAUACCAUGAUUUUCAUUCCCUUAUUAUUUUUCAUAUUUAUCCCGUUGAAUUUAUCGGAAUUUCGAUGGAUUUUCAGAUGUACACUUUUAGUGUACAAUUCCGGGUCCGUCAAUUCAUAUUCAUGUGCGCACAUUUCCAUUUCAGAGAGCACACUCCCGCGAACCUCAACCUUGCAGCGGGAUUACCAGUCCAGGUUAAAUCCCCUGCAAUAUAAACUCAUAGAGUAUUGUCGGGAUUACCAGUCCAGGCUAAAUCCCCUGCAACGACAAUUACUCUAAUGAGCUUGGAUCUGAAUUACCAGUCCAGGCUAAAUUCAGACCCUAAUUCGGAUUACCCGUCCGGGCUAAAUCCAUUUUACACAUAUUCUUCGGGAGGGCUAUAUCAGGAUAGGAUCACCCGUCUGGGCUAGAUCCUUUUUACCGUCAAUUCCUUUUCAGAGAUCCAUCGAAUUUUCCUUUCAUUCAAACGAGAUUUCUUCCCAUUUUAUCAAAUAUAUCAAUGUUUCAUUAAUUUUCAUACAAUGAACACUCAAAUCAUAUUCACAUCAAAAACAUACAAUCUCAAGCAUUUCAGAAUAUAAUUCAAGUUACACGAACUUACAUUGAUACUUGUUUGUAAAUAGUAAAAAUCUAUUAAUCCCGAACUUUUUCCUUUCCUCGAUCUAGCUUCGUAUUUGAAUCUUCUGGAUUUGGUGCAAAAAUUAUGAAAUACCAGCUUAGAGAACCCUCCUAUGGCGUUUUUAGCUGCUGGAAUUGAAGAGAAAUGAAGAGAAAUCUAGAUAUUUCCUAUUUAGUCCUAGUUUUAUUUAGUUAAUUUUGCAAUAUUCCAAUUUUACCCUUAAUUUAUCAAUUUUUCUGCUGAUUUCAUACCCUUGCCGUCCAGCCCAAAUAAAUUUUGGGUCUAAUUGCCUUUUAUAUCCUUUCUCAUUAGACUAAUAAGCUAUUUAAUCACUCUAGCAACUUUUACACCUAUUACAAUUCAGUCAUUUUCAUUUAAUUGACUACCCAAACAUUAAAAUUUCCUAACGAAAUUUUAAUACCACAUUAAUAACAUUUCAUAAAUAUUUAUAAAAUUAUUUUUGACUCGGUUUUCGGUUUUACGAGAUAGAGGUCCCGAUACCUUAUUUUACCCAAUUUCUUCAAUAAUUUCUUUUUCUAACUAAUCACUAAAUUGAUAAAAUUUUCCUAUCAAUAUUUUCAUACGAUUUUCCUAUCAUAUAAAUUUUCAAGCAAAAAUAUUGAAAUAAAUUUCUCUUUAAAUCGGAUUUGUGGUUACGAAACCACUGUUCCGAUAUCAUUAAAUUUACGCCAUUACAACUCUCCCCCCUUUUAAGGAUUUUCGUCCUCGAAAAUCUUACCAGUAAAAAGGUUUGGGUAUUGUUUCCUCAUUGCCUCCUCCGGUUCCCAUGUUGCUUCCUCAAUCCCGUGCUUUUGCCACAAUACUUUCACCAAAUUUAUCUUUUUAUUUCUAAGCUCUUUUGUCUCCCGUGCCAAUAUCUUGACCGGUUCUUCACUGUAAGUCAUAUCCGGUUGAAUCUCUACUUCUGUCAGAGAAAUAACAUGUGAAGGAUCUGAUCGAUAUCGUCGUAACAUAGAUACAUGAAAAACAUUAUGGAUUCUAUCAAGUUCUGGUGGUAAUGCCAAUCGAUAAGCGACCGGUCCAAUUCUUUCUAUGAUUUCAUAGGGCCCGAUAAAUCUUGGACUCAAUUUACCCUUUCGACCGAAUCGAAGAACUUUCUUCCAAGGAGACACUUUCAGAAAUACCUUGUCACCGACUUGAAAUUUAAUCUCUUUUCGCUUAAGGUCGGCAUAUGAUUUUUGACGAUCGGAAGCUACUUUUAGACUAUCUCGAAUAACCUUUACUUUUUCUUCUGUUUCCCGGAUCAAAUCAACCCCAUGUAUCUUCCUUUCACUGAGCUCUGUCCAAUAUAACGGUGUUCUACAUUUUCUACCAUACAAAGCUUCAUACGGAGCCAUUUUAAUACUAGACUGAUAACUGUUAUUGUAAGCAAAUUCAAUCAAAGGUAGAUACCUCUCCCAAUUACCUUCAAACUCUAGUAUACAACAUCGGAGCAUAUCUUCCAAUACUUGAAUUACACGCUCAGAUUGACCAUCUGUCUGAGGAUGAAAUGCAGUGCUGAAAUACAACUGAGUACCCAAGGCUUCUUGCAAUUUGUCCCAGAAACGAGACGUAAAUCGGGGAUCUCUAUCUGAUAUAAUGGAGACAGGCACUCCAUGUAACCUAACAAUCUCAGAUGUGUACAGUUCAGCUAGUUUAUCUAAAGAAUAAUCCAUACGUACCGGAAUAAAGUGAGCUGACUUUGUUAAUCGGUCUACAAUCACCCAAAUAGCAUCUUUUUUUCCUCGGAGACAAAGGCAGCCCCGAUACAAAAUCCAUAGUGAUUCUUUCCCAUUUCCAUUCCGGUAUAGUAAUUGGCUGAAGCAACCCCGAAGGUACCUGAUGUUCAGCUUUAACUUGUUGACAUAUUAAACACCUUGAUACAAACUCAGAGAUAUCACGUUUCAUUCCCGACCACCAGUACAUCUUUUUCAGAUCAUUAUACAUUUUAUUACUCCCCGGAUGUACAGACAUAGUACUACUGUGGGCCUCGCGUAGAAUCUUCUGUAUGAGCUCUGAAUUCUGAGGUACACAUACCCUACCUCUGAAUAAUAAACAAUCAUUAGAACCAAUCUGAAAUUCAGAAUCAUUACCUGACUCACACUAUGCCCGUUUAACCUGUAACUUCUCAUCAUUCUUUUGAGCUUCACAUAUUUGCUGUAAAAAUAUCGGUUUAGCUCUCAAUUCAGCUAGGAUUGAACCAUCAUCAGUCAAUGAUAACCGGGUAUUCAUAGCUCGUAAAGCAAACAGAGAUUUCCGGCUCAAAGCAUCAGCUACAACAUUAGCCUUACCCGGAUGGUAAUCAAUAAUCAAAUCAUAGUCCUUUAUCAGUUCAAGCCACCUGCGCUGUCUCAAAUUCAAAUCUUUCUGUGUCAUCAAAUAUUUCAAGCUUUUAUGAUCAGUAUAAAUGUGACAUUUCUCACCGUACAAGUAAUGCCGCCAUAUCUUCAGCGCAAAUACAAUAGCAGCUAAUUCAAGAUCAUGUACUAGGUAAUUUCUUUUAUGUGGUUUAAGUUGUCCUGAAGCAUAGGCUAUUACUUUACCUUUUGCAUCAAAACAUAACCUAAACCAUUUAAUGAGGCAUCACUGUAAAUAAAAAAUUCCUUACCCGGUUCAGGCUGCACUAAUACAGGUGCUUUCGUUAAUAGGUCUUUCAAUCGGUUGAAACUUUGUUGACAUUCAUCAGUCCACUCGAACUUUACAUCUUUCUACAAUAAUCGAGUCAUUGGAGAAGCUAUCAUAGAGAAUCCCUGUACAAAUCUCCGAUAAUAACCAGCUAAACCCAAGAAACUUCUAACUUCAGAUACAUUCUUCGGUGGACUCCAAUUGACAAUAGCUGAGAUUUUACUUGGAUCUACCCUGAUGCCUUCGGCAGAUACAAUGUGUCCAAGAAAACUCACUUCUCGAAGCCAAAAUUCACAUUUACUAAAUUUAGCAUACAACUGCUUCUCUCGUAGAAUUUGCAAUACAAUUCUCAAAUGUUCUGCAUGUUCUUCUUCAUCCCGAGAAUAAACCAAAAUAUCAUCAAUGAAUACUACUACAAAUCUGUCUAAGUACGGUCUAAAUAUCCGGUUUAUCAAAUCCAUGAAUACUGCAGGUGCAUUAGUUAGACCAAACGGCAUAACUAGAAACUCAUAAUGCCCGUACCUGGUUCUAAAGGUUGUUUUUGGCACAUCUGACUCCUUUACUCGUAACUGAUAAUAACCUGAUCGAAGAUCAAUAUUUGAAAACAUAGUAGCACCUUUCAGCUGAUCAAAUAAAUCAUCAAUCCGGGGUAACGGGUACUUAUUCUUUAUGGUUAAUUUAUUAAGCUGCCGGUAGUCGAUACACAAUCUCAAAGACCCAUCUUUCUUUUUCAUAAACAGAACUAAAGCACCCCAAGGUGAAUGACUCGGUCGAACAAAACCCCUGUCAACAAGCUCUUGCAAUUGUGUCUUUAACUCUUUUAAUUCUAUAGGAGCCAUCCGGUACGGAGCUAUGGAGAUCGGAGUAGUUCCCGGAAUCAAAUCUAUAAAAAAUUCCACUUCUCUUUCUGGUGGCAAUCCUGGUAAUUCUUCUGGAAACACAUCAAAAAAUUCACAUACCACUGGAACUGCCUGUAUCUUUGACUCAGAUACCUUGGUGUCGAGUACAUAAGCCAAGUAAGCAUCAUACCCCUUUUUGACAUACCUCUGUGCUGCCAUUACUGAAAUCAUAUCAGAUAAUCCUUCUGUCUGAUCAGAUUUAACCCGGAGCAACUCACCAUUCUGACAUUUUAACACAAUAUAUUUUUGUUUACAAUUUACUACCGCAUCAUGCUGGGUUAACCAAUCCAUACCCAAUAUCACGUCAAAUUCAUCAAAUGGCAGUAACAUCAAAUCAGCCGGGAAACAAUAACCUCUUACCAUCAGUGGACAAUUUUUACAAAUUUUAUCCACUAACACAGACUGGCCCAGGGGGUUCGAGACUUUAACCACAAAUUCAGUAGGUUCAACAGAUAAAUUUUUAACAAUUGCAAGUUUAACACAUAUAUAUGAAUGCGUAGAACCAGGAUCAAUCAAUGCAGUAAUAUCAGUAUCAAGUAAAGAAAAUGUACCAGUAAUAACAUCGGGUGCUGAAGCAUCUUCUCUAGCACGAAUGGCAUAUGUCCUAGCAGGUGCUCGUACCUCAGGCCUACCUAUAGUAUCUUUUGUAGCUCCUCGACUACCACUGACAUUACCGGAUGGUCGAGGUGGUCUGCCCCUCGAAACUAGAUUACUCGGCUUCGAUAUAUGUUCAACUUUUUUUUCAACCCUUUCUGGACAAUCUCUGAGGAAAUGGUCAAAAGAACCACAUCGGUAACAAGCCCCACUCUUAAAUCGGCAUUCACCAAAAUGAGCUUUAUUACAGUACUGGCAUCUCGGUUUAGGAGUGCCAACACUGCCAACACUGGCCACUGAUGGAGUAGAAGGCCUUGGAUUAGUGCGUUGAGAACCUCGUUCUUUGCCCGAAUACCCAAUGGCUGAAGUAGAACGAUCCUGAUAUUUCUUCAAUUUCUUUGAAGUAGAAAAUUGGGAUUUUCCCAUCGGUCUUUUACUAAAAAUUCGAGCUUCCCUCUCAGCCUGUUUCUUUUCUUUGCUCAAUUCUUCUGCUUUAUAAGCUCUCUCUGCCAAUGUAGCAAACUCUCGAAUUUCAAGAAUUCCGAUCAGUAACUUAAUGUCUUCAUUCAACCCUUCUUCGAAUUGUUUGCACAUUUCAACUUCUGACUGUACCCAUUCUCGAGCAUAUUUACUCAAUCGAACAAAUUCUCUUUCAUAUUCAGAUACUGAUCUAUUGCCCUGUUUUAGCUCAAGAAAUUCUUUUCUUUUCUGGUCAAGGAACCUCUGGCUGAUAUAUAUUUUUUUCUGAACUCGGUCUGAAAGAAUUCCCAUGUAAUUUCUUCUUUCGGAACAACUGAAGCUUUAGUAUUCCACCAAUGGUAAGCUGUAUCUUUUAGCAGUGAGACGGCACAUUUCAGACAUUCUUCUGGUGUACAAGAUAAUUCUUCCAGAACCCGAGUAGUAUUUUCUAACCAGAAUUCAGCCCGUUCGGAAUCAUCAUCAACUGCUGCUCAAAAUUCUUCGGCCCCAUAUUUUCGAAUUUUAUCUACUGGAGCUUUCCCUUUUCUGACAGAUUCAGUACCUGUACCUUGUGGGAUCUCGGGAACCGGUGAAGGAGCAGGAGGGGGAGCUUGAACUUGCUGCACUACAGGGUUAGUUCUUAAGUAUUGAUUAAACCAUUCAUUCAUCAUUUGAAAGAAGGUUGUUUUUGCCUCCUCCCCUCGACCCUCUAUAUCGGGCCUUCUACUGCUAGUUUCUUCUCUUUGUACUGAAGCCGGAGCAUGACUCCCAGCUUCCUCAGAUUGAGCUCGGUCGGAUGACAUUACUAUAAGAAAAACACAUUUUAAAUGGUCAGGAGAUAUCACACUACCAAUAAUAAUUUAAAUGACAUGUAUAGCUAAUCCCGUAUUUACUACAUCGGUCCUAGAACCGGCUAAAUCGUAGCUCUGAUACCAAUAAAUGUAAUACCCCUACCCGUAUUCAUUGCCGGAAUAGGGUACGAGGCAUUACCGGAGUUUACGAAUUAAUUUUUUUUUCAAUUCAACAUAUUUUCAUGAUAGAUUCAUGCAUUUAUAUAAGAUAACGUCAUCACAUAUCUAUAACCAGGUUUGUUAACCAUACUAAUGGCUAACUUUACAUUCAUUUCACGUUAACAUUUACUUUGUUAGCUUAUACAUGCCAUUGAUUUCCAAAAUAAAGUUUCUUUAUAUACCGAAAUCCUGAGGUUGACAGUGUGAUGUGUCUCCGACCAAAUCCGACCUCCGAGCUCUUAACACUACAAAACAGGGAAAAAGGAAACGGGGUAAGCACUUUGUGCUUAGUAAGCUCAUGUAACAAGAAUUAUACUUACCUAAUAUUUUCAAUACAAUAUAAUAAACAUUCAUAUAUCCAUUCAAUGCAUUAUUACCCUAACAUGCACAAACUCAACAUUCAAGUUAGUACAAUAAUUUCCAUGUAUCAAUAAUAUAUAUACCAUGAUUGAUGUACUCCUCAAUACCAUGAUUUUCAUUCCCUUAUUAUUUUUCAUAUUUAUCCCGUUGAAUUUAUCGGAAUUUCGAUGGAUUUUCAGAUGUACACUUUUAGUGUACAAUUCCGAGUCCGUCAAUUCAUAUUCAUGUGCGCACAUUUCCAUUUCAGAGAGCACACUCCCGCGAACCUCAACCUUGCAGCGGGAUUACCAGUCCAGGUUAAAUCCCCUGCAAUAUAAACUCAUAGAGUAUUGUCGGGAUUACCAGUCCAGGCUAAAUCCCCUGCAACGACAAUUACUCUAAUG